rnacentral:lncRNA from 1 species
GAAAAGAAAAAAAGAAGAGGAGAGUGAAAUUGAGAUUGAGAAAGAAAAAGAGAAAGAAAAUGAGAGAACAAAAAGAAAAGAGGUUCGAGUAAUGAGGGUGAGGAGAGUGAAAGUAAAUGUGAAAUAAAAUAGGAGAGUUUCAAUUUGGAAAAAGAAAAUAAGCAGCAAAAAAAAAACCCAAGCAAAGGAAAGAGAUGUUUU